CGAAACCUUCGGGUUUAGUGGCGAACGGGUGAGUAACACGUGAGAAACCUGCCCCUUAGUUGAGGAUAACCAUUCUAACGGAUGGCUAAUACUGAAUAUUGACAUAAGUCUCCUGACUUGUGAUCGAAAGGCUUCGGCCGCUUAGGGAUGGUCUCGCGUCUGAUUAGCUUGUUGGUGAGGUAGUGGCUCACCAAGGCGACGAUCAGUAGCCGGCCUGAGAGGGUGAUCGGCCACAUUGGGACUGAGAUACGGCCCAGACUCCUACGGGAGGCAGCAGUAGGGAAUAUUGCACAAUGGAGGAAACUCUGAUGCAGCAACGCCACGUGUGGGAUGACGCAUUUAGGUGUGUAAACCACUGUCAGAUGGGAAUAUAAUGAAUGUACCAUCAAAGGAAGCACCGGCUAACUUCGUGCCAGCAGCCGCGGUAAUACGAGGGGUGCAAGCGUUGUUCGGAAUCACUGGGCGUAAAGGGUCCGUAGGCGGAUACACAAGUCAGAUGUUUAAUUUCGAGGCCUAACUUCGAGCUUGCAUUUGAAACUGUGUAUCUUGAAUAGAUCAGAGGUUGAUGGAAUACUUGGUGUAGCGGUGGAAUGCGUAGAUAUCAAGUAGAACACCAAUGGCGAAGGCAGUCAACUGGGAUCAUAUUGACGCUGA
rnacentral:rRNA from 1 species